rnacentral:rRNA from 1 species
AACGAACGCUGGCGGCAUGCCUAACACAUGCAAGUCGAACGAGACCUUCGGGUCUAGUUGCGCACGGGUGCGUCACGCGUCGGAACCUGCCCUUAGGUUCGGAAUAACUCCCCGACAGGGGUGCUAAUACCGGAUAAUUUCUUCUGACACCAGAUUUAUCGCCUUUGUAUGGGCCCGCGUUGGAUUAGCUUGUUGGUAGGGUAAAAGCCUACCAAGGCGACGAUCCAUAGCUGGUCUGAGAGGAUGAUCAGCCACACUGGGACUGAGACACGGCCCAGACUCCUACGGGAGGCAGCAGUGGGGAAUAUUGGACAAUGGGCGAAAGCCUGAUCCAGCAAUGCCGCGUGAGUGAUGAAGGCCUUAGGGAUGUAAAGCUCUUUUACCCGGGAUGAUAAUGACAGUACCGGGAGAAUAAGCUCCGGCUAACUCCGUG